rnacentral:rRNA from 1 species
GUCUCAGUUCGGAUCGCAGGCUGCAACCCGCCUGCGUGAAGUCGGAAUCGCUAGUAAUCGCGGAUCAGCAUGCCGCGGUGAAUACGUUCCCGGGCCUUGUACACACCGCCCGUCACACCAUGAGAGUCGGGAACACCCGAAGUCCGUAGCCUAACCGCAAGGGGGCGCGGCCGAAGGUGGGUUCGAUAAUUGGGGUGAAGUCGUAACAAGGUACC